UGAUCGGAACCACUAAAGAUUUUCAGGUGGCCGAUUAGUGGCCAGCCACCGGCCGCCUCCGGCGGUGGUUGUGGCUUGCAAGCAUCGUCGUCACGUGCAGUUUUGAUGAAGUACAAGUAGUAUGAUAUGAUUAGUAUACCAACAACUGCUGCUGCUACUGCUUCUUCAUACUCAAUCGUCAUCCUGAUUCAUAAGCUGCCAUAGAUAAAUCAGAUAGACACUAAUGUAUACUGUGUAUACCAAGUGAUGCGUACCACACCAUAAUCGGCAUGGAGGUUCAGUGGCAGACUGACCUUAAAAAUCGGAACCGAGCAGAACUGAACAAACAAACUUUAUAAAUUAUCUCCGAAACAGAAUACGCCACUCAAUCACGUCUCUUCACAAGAUAUCCAUAACGGCACUUGACCAGGAAUAUCGGAACUAACAGGAGCUCACCAGCAAACUCGAGGAGCCUAUAAAUCUUACCCCUUGAUUCAGAAAGGGGCAGGUUCCACAUUCACUUCUAGUUAUUUACUCUUUAUUCAUUAAUUAUUCUCCCACUUACUUGAGCGUCGGAGUGCUUUGUGCAGGUGCUCCCGCUGC